rnacentral:rRNA from 1 species
UACGGAGGGGGCUAGCGUUGUUCGGAAUUAUGACGUGGGCGUAAAGCGCACGUAGGCGGCUUUGUAAAGUUACGGAGGUCGGAAAGCCCCAGGGCUUAACCCUGGAAUUGCCUUUAGACUGCAUCGCUAGAAUCGUGGAGAGGUGAGUGGAAUUCCGAGUGUAGAGGUGAAAUUCGUAGAUAUUCGGAAGAACACCAGUGGCGAAGGCGGACUCACUGGACAUGUAAUUGACGCUGA